GCAAGUCGAACGGUAACAUAAGGUGCUUGCACUUUGAUGACGAGUGGCGCACGGGUGCGUAACGCGUAUAGAACCUACCCUGUACAGGGGGAUAGCCCAGAGAAAUUUGGAUUAAUACCCCGUAGUAACUACUGAUGGCAUCAUUAGUAGUUUAAAGUUUUCGGAUGGUACAGGAUGGCUAUGCGUCCUAUUAGUUAGAUGGUGAGGUAACGGCUCACCAUGGCAGCGAUAGGUAGGCGGCCUUAACGGGUGGUC
rnacentral:rRNA from 1 species